rnacentral:misc_RNA from 1 species
AAGUCGUAACAAGGUAUCUGUAGGUGAACCUGCAGAUGGAUCAUUUCGAUGAAAACCUUUUUUCUGAGGUGUGGCUCGCACCUGUCCAACUAAACUUGAGCUACCUUUUUCAACACGGUUGCAUCGGUCGAGGUGGACGUGUGUCUCUUCCCUUUAUGGGGAGCGGGCACCGCACUCUUCGACACUUUACAAAAACACUUUGGAUGAUCUAGGAUUUGAAUGACAAUUUAUGACUGGUAAUUCGGUCGUUUAAAUUUAAAAACAACUUUUGGCAACGGAUCUCUUGGUUCUCC